rnacentral:rRNA from 1 species
UCCUACGGGAAGCAGCAGUAGGGAAUAUUGGGCAAUGGAUGCAAGUCUGACCCAGCCAUGCCGCGUGCCGGAUGAAGGCCCUCAGGGUUGUAAACGGCUUUUAUUCGGGAAGAAGAGCAGGGAUGCGUCCUUGUGUGACGGUACCGAAUGAAUAAGCACCGGCUAACUCCGUGCCAGCAGCCGCGGUAAUACGGAGGGUGCGAGCGUUGUCCGGAUUUAUUGGGUUUAAAGGGUGCGUAGGUGGCUUUAUAAGUCAGUGGUGAAAUACGGUUGCUCAACAAUCGAGGUGCCAUUGAUACUGCAAAGCUUGAAAUAAUUGGAGGCUGCCGGAAUGGAUGGUGUAGCGGUGAAAUGCAUAGAUAUCAUCCAGAACACCGAUUGCGAAGGCAGGUGGCUACGAUUGGUUUGACACUGAGGCACGAAAGCAUGGGGAGCAAACAGGAUUAGAUACCCUGGUAGUCCAUGCUGUAAACGAUGAGGACUCUUUGUUUGACUGUAAAGUUGAGCGACUUAGGGAAACCGUUAAUCCUCCACAUGCGAUCCCGCGGUACCGGU